CAAGAUCGAACUGAAGAGUUUGAUCCUGGCUCAGAUUGAACGCUGGCGGCAUGCCUUACACAUGCAAGUCGAACGGUAACGCGGGGCAACCUGGCGACGAGUGGCGAACGGGUGA
rnacentral:rRNA from 1 species